rnacentral:rRNA from 1 species
AAUAGAUACCCCGGUAGUCCACGCCGUAAACGAUGUCGACUUGGAGGUUGUUCCCUUGAGGAGUGGCUUCCGGAGCUAACGCGUUAAGUCGACCGCCUGGGGAGUACGGCCGCAAGGUUAAAAACUCAAAUGAAUUGACGGGGGGCCCGCACAAGCGGUGGAGCAUGUGGUUUAAUUCGAUGCAACGCGAAGAACCUUACCUACUCUUGACAUCCACGGAACUUUUCAGAGAUGAAUUGGUGCCUUCGGGAACCGUGAGACAGGUGCUGCAUGGCUGUCGUCAGCUCGUGUUGUGAAAUGUUGGGUUAAGUCCCGCAACGAGCGCAACCCUUAUCCUUUGUUGCCAGCGGUUAGGCCGGGAACUCAAAGGAGACUGCCAGUGAUAAACUGGAGGAAGGUGGGGAUGACGUCAAGUCAUCAUGGCCCUUACGAGUAGGGCUACACACGUGCUACAAUGGCGCAUACAAAGAGAAGCGACCUCGCGAGAGCAAGCGGACCUCAUAAAGUGCGUCGUAGUCCGGAUUGGAGUCUGCAACUCGACUCC